AGUCGAGCGACAGAUAAGGAGCUUGCUCCUUUGACGUUAGCGGCGGACGGGUGAGUAACACGUGGGUAACCUACCUAUAAGACUGGGAUAACUUCGGGAAACCGGAGCUAAUACCGGAUAAUAUUUCGAACCGCAUGGUUCGAUAGUGAAAGAUGGUUUUGCUAUCACUUAUAGAUGGACCCGCGCCGUAUUAGCUAGUUGGUAAGGUAACGGCUUACCAAGGCGACGAUACGUAGCCGACCUGAGAGGGUGAUCGGCCACACUGGAACUGAGACACGGUCCAGACUCCUACGGGAGGCAGCAGUAGGGAAUCUUCCGCAAUGGGCGAAAGCCUGACGGAGCAACGCCGCGUGAGUGAUGAAGGUCUUCGGAUCGUAAAACUCUGUUAUUAGGGAAGAACAUACGUGUAAGUAACUGUGCACGUCUUGACGGUACCUAAUCAGAAAGCCACGGCUAACUACGUGCCAGCAGCCGCGGUAAUACGUAGGUGGCAAGCGUUAUCCGGAAUUAUUGGGCGUAAAGCGCGCGUAGGCGGUUUUUUAAGUCUGAUGUGAAAGCCCACGGCUCAACCGUGGAGGGUCAUUGGAAACUGGAAAACUUGAGUGCAGAAGAGGAAAGUGGAAUUCCAUGUGUAGCGGUGAAAUGCGCAGAGAUAUGGAGGAACACCAGUGGCGAAGGCGACUUUCUGGUCUGUAACUGACGCUGAUGUGCGAAAGCGUGGGGAUCAAACAGGAUUAGAUACCCUGGUAGUCCACGCCGUAAACGAUGAGUGCUAAGUGUUAGGGGGUUUCCGCCCCUUAGUGCUGCAGCUAACGCAUUAAGCACUCCGCCUGGGGAGUACGACCGCAAGGUUGAAACUCAAAGGAAUUGACGGGGACCCGCACAAGCGGUGGAGCAUGUGGUUUAAUUCGAAGCAACGCGAAGAACCUUACCAAAUCUUGACAUCCUUUGACAACUCUAGAGAUAGAGCUUUCCCCUUCGGGGGACAAAGUGACAGGUGGUGCAUGGUUGUCGUCAGCUCGUGUCGUGAGAUGUUGGGUUAAGUCCCGCAACGAGCGCAACCCUUAAGCUUAGUUGCCAUCAUUAAGUUGGGCACUCUAAGUUGACUGCCGGUGACAAACCGGAGGAAGGUGGGGAUGACGUCAAAUCAUCAUGCCCCUUAUGAUUUGGGCUACACACGUGCUACAAUGGACAAUACAAAGGGCAGCGAAACCGCGAGGUCAAGCAAAUCCCAUAAAGUUGUUCUCAGUUCGGAUUGUAGUCUGCAACUCGACUACAUGAAGCUGGAAUCGCUAGUAAUCGUAGAUCAGCAUGCUACGGUGAAUACGUUCCCGGGUCUUGUACACACCGCCCGUCACACCACGAGAGUUUGUAACACCCGAAGCCGGUGGAGUAACCAUUGGAGCUAGCCGUCGAAGGUGG
rnacentral:rRNA from 1 species